AUACGUAGGGUGCAAGCGUUAAUCGGAAUUACUGGGCGUAAAGCGUGCGCAGGCGGUUUUGCAAGACAGUGGUGAAAUCCCCGGGCUCAACCUGGGAACUGCCAUUGUGACUGCAAGGCUGGAGUGCGGCAGAGGGGGAUGGAAUUCCGCGUGUAGCAGUGAAAUGCGUAGAUAUGCGGAGGAACACCGAUGGCGAAGGCAAUCCCCUGGGCCUGCACUGACGCUCAUGCACGAAAGCGUGGGGAGCAAACAGGAUUAGAUACCCUGGUAGUCCACGCCCUAAACGAUGUCAACUGGUUGUUGGGGAUUUAUUUUCUCAGUAACGAAGCUAACGCGUGAAGUUGACCGCCUGGGGAGUACGGCCGCAAGGUUAAAACUCAAAGGAAUUGGCGGGG
rnacentral:rRNA from 1 species